rnacentral:rRNA from 1 species
CCUACGGGAGGCAGCAGUGAGGAAUAUUGGUCAAUGGACGCAAGUCUGAACCAGCCAAGCCGCGUGAAGGAAGACGGCUCUAUGGGUUGUAAACUGCUUUUAUAGGGGAGUAAAGGCUGCGACGUGUGUUGUUUUGUAAGUACCUUACGAAUAAGGAUCGGCUAACUCCGUGCCAGCAGCCGCGGUAAUACGGAGGAUUCAAGCGUUAUCCGGAUUUAUUGGGUUUAAAGGGAGCGUAGGCGGUCGGAUAAGUCAGUUGUGAAAGCUCGCGGCUCAACCGCGGAAUUGCAUUUGAAACUGGUAGGCUUGAGUACAGUAGAGGUCGGCGGAAUUCGUGGUGUAGCGGUGAAAUGCUUAGAUAUAAUGAAGAACACCGAUUGCGAAGGCAGCUGACUGGACUGCAACUGACGGUGAGGCACGAAAGCGUGGGGAGCAAACAGGAUUAGAUACCCGAGUAGUC